rnacentral:misc_RNA from 1 species
UCCUUUUUUUUUUUUUUUUUUUUCUUCAUUCUUCUAGGAAUGACUUCGUCAGUAACCUCAGCUCCAUUUUGAUUUUUCAUAUUUUUUAGGCAUUUGGUUCAGUGUCUGGCACUAAUCGAACUGUUUUUUUCUUUUUAUGGUUAAUUGAAACAAAUAACUAGUGUUGCUCGUUCUCAGUUCUUCCUAUUUUUUGGUAUUUUGAGUUUCGAAUCAGUUCUUGCUGAUUCCGAUCCGGUAUUUUUACUGAUUCGGACGGCAUUUCGUAUUCUGGGUUGUUCGAGAACGACCUACUGGGGGUUUCGGUACUAUUUAGUCGUGGAUUGUGGAGGAGGAAUUAUUUAGGGUUUGUGAGAUGGGCAUGUGAAUUCUAGGAUUGACGAGAGAUAGAGAGGGACAGAAGAGGGGGAUAUGGAUGACAGAGGUGGGUCGUUUGUUGCUGUCAGGAGGAUAUCUCAAGGUAUCGAGCGAGGUAGCAACACCUGCCAUUCGACUUCUGCUGAGGUUGUGGCAGGAUCAGCGGCAUGGCUUGGUCGCGGUCUUUCUUGUGUGUGUGCGCAAAGAAGAGAGAGUGAUGCUCGCCCUUCAUUUGAUUUAACCCCUGCCCAGGAGGAAUGCUUGCAGAAGUUACAAAGUCGCAUAGAUGUUGCCUAUGAUAGUUCAAUCCCUGAGCAUCAGGAAGCCUUGAGGGCUCUAUGGAAUGUCGCCUUUCCUGAAGAAGAACUUUGUGGUUUGAUAUCUGAGCAGUGGAAGGAAAUGGGCUGGCAAGGGAAGGAUCCAUCAACAGAUUUUAGGGGUGGUGGUUUUAUAUCAUUAGAGAACUUGUUGUUCUUUGCUAGAAAUUUUCCGAAGUCCUUCCAGGAUCUUCUUCAAAAGCGAGAAGGUGAUCGGUCAGUAUGGGAAUACCCAUUUGCUGUAGCUGGUGUCAACAUCACAUUCAUGCUCAUUCAGAUGCUUGAUCUUGAAGCAGGUUAUUUCUUGAAACAACAGAAGCUCAUUGUUUUAUUUAUAUCCACAACCCACCAAUGUCUGGUCAAAAUUUCUGUUGCUUCUGUUGCUAUAUCUUUUCCAUGGUAUUCCAUCUUUGACUUUAAUCAUUGUCUUUUAGAUCCUUCAGAAGAGGGAAAACAUAUGGAUGUACUAUAGAAUUGUUUGCAUGUGAUUCGAUAUCAUAUUCUGCUUUCUAGAUCUUCAAAUGAGGCUUCUUAAUUUUCCUGAUACUUCUUUUAUUGGCUUGCUUGGGAUUUAUGUGGCUUAAACUUUUGGCAUGUUGUCAUAUUACACUUACAUACAUAUAUAAAGCUAUCAGCCUUGGGUAAGUAGUCGAGUGUCUACCUUAUAGUGCAAAAAGAUAAGAGGUUCAAUUCUUGGCAUCCCCUUAAAAAAAUUCCCAUGCACUAAAAACAAUUAUGAAAAAAGAGAAAAAUCUAUGGCCAGCCAAACCACGAAUAAAUUGUUUUAAAUCUACAAAGCCAUUGGCAUUACUUAACAUUCAUGCUUAUCCAAAGCAUAGUAUUGUGCUGAAACAAAAUUUGCUGGAUGUUGAACUGUGUGUUUCAAUCUACAGUGAAGCCACGAUCAAUGGUUGGAGCAACCUUUUUGAAGUUCCUAGCAGAGAGUGAAUCAGCAUUUGACCUCCUCUACUGCAUCACGUUCAAGCUAAUGGACCAUCAAUGGCUUACCAUGCAAGCAUCAUAUAUGGACUUCAAUACGGUUAUGAAAUCCACACGUCGUCAGCUUGAAAGAGAGCUUCUACUCGAAGACAUAACGCGGCUAGAAGACUUGCCAUCUUAUGGCCUUCUUACACGAUAGUAUAGCAGUUGGAGUGUUUGACUGUUGUAACAGCAAGAUUUGUGACGGAAGCAGGCCCAUUCUCUCUUUUUUUAGGUUAUUGCUGCCGCCUUCUUUUUCUGUCUUUUAAUUAGAUGGUUUUAUGCAUGAUAAAAUGCUUCUUGUCAUAACUUCACUUGAAGCAUCGACACCGAAUUCCCAUUUAAUCAUAGAAGUGGGUUGUUGAGUUUAUUAAGUUUCCUGUACUGCAAAAAGGAAAGAAGAAAAUAUCUUGAGUUUGUAAGGAGAAAUCAUUGACGUAAGCUUUUUGUAUGAUUGCAUUUAGGUUAAAUAAACAAGUGGUUGUUUGUUGCAUUAUGUGGAAUACCAAGAUCAAGACUGCAGUGCCCUCACAUGAUCUUGUAGAUCACUGUAGGUAGGUUGGAUUGUUUGUAUAUUACUAAUUGUAAGAAAGUGAAUGGAAUUCAGGCCCAGCUUUCGUGUUAAAUGCCUUUUCUUUUUUUGUUUUUUUGUGCUGGAUAUCUUAAUUUAAUAAUGGCAGCUCUUUGUUAUUAGCUUUUUUGAUAGAAAGUAGUUGUUUGAACAUC